rnacentral:lncRNA from 1 species
GUUUGGAAAGUAGUUAAUGCACUUGUAGAUAGGUAAUUAUGGUUGUGUAAUAUACAAUAACUGAGAUGUACUUUUGUAGUUAGGUCAUUAUGGGAGUGUUAAUUAUCAUUUUCAACUAUUUAACCCUUCUUUCACGAGUUUAUCUCCAUCAUCUUCUUUCUCUUUUUUCUCUUGUAUAACUCUGUCACAUUCCUUCUUCUAUCUUCUUUAUUCUGUCACAUUCCUUCUUCUAUCUUCUUUAUUCUCUCACAUUCCUUCUUCUAUAUGGAUCCAAGGAAUCCGU